UACGUAGGGUGCGAGCGUUGUCCGGAAUUAUUGGGCGUAAAGGGCUCGUAGGCGGUUUGUCGCGUCGGGAGUGAAAACACCGGGCUUAACUCGGUGCUUGCUUUCGAUACGGGCAGACUAGAGGCAUGCAGGGGAGAACGGAAUUCCUGGUGUAGCGGUGAAAUGCGCAGAUAUCAGGAGGAACACCGGUGGCGAAGGCGGUUCUCUGGGCAUGUCCUGACGCUCAUGUGCGAAAGCGUGGGGAGCAAACAGG
rnacentral:rRNA from 1 species